GAUGAACGCUGGCGGCGUGCCUAAUACAUGCAAGUCGAGCGAACAGACGAGGAGCUUGCUCCUCUGACGUUAGCGGCGGACGGGUGAGUAACACGUGGAUAACCUACCUAUAAGACUGGGAUAACUUCGGGAAACCGGAGCUAAUACCGGAUAAUAUAUUGAACCGCAUGGUUCAAUAGUGAAAGACGGUUUUGCUGUCACUUAUAGAUGGAUCCGCGCCGCAUUAGCUAGUUGGUAAGGUAACGGCUUACCAAGGCGACGAUGCGUAGCCGACCUGAGAGGGUGAUCGGCCACACUGGAACUGAGACACGGUCCAGACUCCUACGGGAGGCAGCAGUAGGGAAUCUUCCGCAAUGGGCGAAAGCCUGACGGAGCAACGCCGCGUGAGUGAUGAAGGUCUUCGGAUCGUAAAACUCUGUUAUUAGGGAAGAACAAAUGUGUAAGUAACUAUGCACGUCUUGACGGUACCUAAUCAGAAAGCCACAGCUAACUACGU
rnacentral:rRNA from 1 species